rnacentral:rRNA from 1 species
AGAGUUUGAUUAUGGCUCAGGAUUAACGCUAGCGGCAGGCCUAAUACAUGCAAGUCGAACGGCAGCGGGUGUAGCAAUACAUGCCGGCGAGUGGCGCACGGGUGCGUAACGCGUAUGCAAUCUACCUAUAACUGGGGAAUAGCCUUCCGAAAGGAAGAUUAAUACCGCAUAACAUCACGGAACGGCAUCGUUUUGUGAUCAAAACUCAGGUGGUUAUAGAUGAGCAUGCGUGACAUUAGCUAGUUGGUGAGGUAACGGCUCACCAAGGCGACGAUGUCUAGGGGGUCUGAGAGGAUGAUCCCCCACACUGGUACUGAGACACGGACCAGACUCCUACGGGAGGCAGCAGUAAGGAAUAUUGGACAAUGGCCGCAAGGCUGAUCCAGCCAUGCCGCGUGAAGGAUGAAGGUGCUAUGCAUUGUAAACUUCUUUUGUCCCGGAAUAAACCCCUGAUUUCUAUCGGGGCUGAAUGUACGGGAAGAAUAAGGGACGGCUAACUUCGUGUCAGCCGCCGCGGUAA